GACGAACGCUGGCGGCGUGCCUAAUACAUGCAAGUCGAACGGACGGACGAGAAGCUUGCUUCACUGAUGUUAGCGGCGGACGGGUGAGAAACACGUGGAUAACCCACCUAUAAGACUGGGAUAAAGUCGGGAAGCGGGAGCUAAUGCCGGAUAAUAUUUUGAACCGGAUGGUUCAAGAGUGAAAGACGGUCUUGCUGUCACUUAUCGAUGGAUCCGCGCUUCAUUAGCUAGUUGGUAAGGUAACGGCUUACCAAGGAAACGAUGCAUAGCCGACGUGAGAGGGUGAUCGGCCACACUGGAACUGAGACACGGUCCUGACUCCUACGUGAGGCACCAGUAGGGAAUCUUCCGCAAUGGGCGGAAGCCUGACGGAGCGGCGCCGCGUGAGUGAUGCAGGUCUUCGGAUCGUAAAACGCUGUUAUUGGGGAAGAACAUAUGUGUAAGUAACUGUGCACAUCUUGACGGUACCUAAUCAGAAAGCCACGGCUAACUACGUG
rnacentral:rRNA from 1 species